CACCUACGGGACGCAGCAGUAGGGAAUGUGCUAAAAUGGAAGAAAGUCUGAUGGAGCAACGCCGCGUGAGUGAAGAAGGGUUUCGGCUCGUAAAUCUCUGGUGGUAGUGAAGAAAGAUAGAGGUAGUAACUGGCCUUUAUUUGACGGUAAUUACUUAGAAAGUCACGGCUAACUACGUGCCAGCAGCCGCGGUAAUACGUAGGUGGCAAGCGUUGUCCGGAUUUAUUGGGCGUAAAGCGAGUGCAGGCGG
rnacentral:rRNA from 1 species